UCGAGGGUAAAUGUGUGUGAAGGUGUGUAGGGGAAGAUUCACAGCCCAAAAUUUGAAAUAGCGAAAACCUGUGAAAAUAGCAAAAGAGGGGAAUUAAGGGGAAGCAGAUGUCUUGCUUCUGCUGCCCAACCAGCCCCAUAGUCAUCUAAGCAAACUACUCUUCAAUCCCAACCUUCUGAUCCUGCACUCUAUUCCCUCCGUGAUUGCUACGACCACCGCCUUCCACGUGGACCCGAAUCGGAGGCAAAUUGUCCAGAGACGGAGACGACGAGGUAUGGGGUAUGGGGUAGUUGAAUCAAGCAAACAAGGUCAUAAGGAUGACAUUGGCGGUUGUGGGAGGAAAAGGAGGGAAGGGUUUGAGGGUUAUCGUGGGUACAGCCGUCGGGUCUCCGGUGCGUAAAGACUUGUUUGAUCACUCUAAACACCAUGUCUUCUCAGUCUGCAUCUGAUCAAAACAAUUGUGACAUUUGUCUGAGUAGCAUGGCAAUCCCAAAAGGCCAAGCCAUAAUCAUGUACAAAUGUUCCCACUCUGUUAUCUGGUGUGGCGCCAUAACCUGCCGUUGUCUUUCUCUGUGCUUCGAGUCAGGCUUGUAGAUCGGCACAACGUAGGUGUUUCUGUUGGAUCUGUUGGAUAUAUUGAUUCUCCUCUAGGUUGGUAGAUAUUGUCUAAUCUGAUGGUUGUGUAGAGAAACAACAGAUUUAUGCAGGACCAUCACUGCCACGAGUUUAAUUGAAUCUCAAAGCCUCUAGAUUUUAGUUCAAUUCUGAUUUCGGGGUUUAUGGCCAUCAUCAUCAUCAUCAAGUGGUUCAGUAAGUCUUCUCUAUAUGCUAGCAAGUUUGGUUAUGAACCUAUUUUUAUUUACAUCAAUUGGAGAUUUCCGGGCUUUUUAGAGUCUACGAAUUCAUAUCUCUGAGAGUGAUAUAUAUGAUAACUGAAGGUGUAGGGUGGUCUUCAAUGAAUUGAUUGAGGCUUUGUUUAUUUUCCAAUGUUGACAGGUAAAGGGGGAGGAUGUGGCUGAUUUGGCCACUAAUACACCAUCACGAAACUUUAAAUUGAACUGUAGCAAGCAAUUCGUUGGUUGUAAAAGUUUACAACACUCUAGAAACACCUAACAUACUCAUAGGCAGUAACACACAUCAGGGAUUAUUUGAUUUAUUAGCUGCUUCUAUUCUUCACAAAUUCGGUUUUUGUGACUGUGAAGGGCAAUACUCGUAAAAUUAAAUUCUGUCAUUGGUGUGGUGUGGUGGUGCAACAAAGCAUGAGGAACCUGAAGGCGAGGAGAAAAUAAGAGCUAUUUGUACAGUUUGUGAGAGGAUUGCUUAUGAAAAUCCAAAAAUGGUAUGCCAACUAGAAUUUGCUUUGCUAUAGAAAUGUCCUUGAGACUGCAUGUAAAUGUAGAAUAAUUGCAGAGUCUAUUUAUUAGGAUCUACAUUAUUAUGAGUUAAUGUAUCUAUUUGGUAUCAGAACUAUCAUAUAUAAGUUAGCCGGUAGGAUAUGUAUAGUAGUUUUGCAGCAACUUUUAUAUAUGUUCCAUUUGCAUGUGUGUUUUCUUGUCGCUUGAGAUUUAUAGUAAAUUUCAUCAUAUGCAUUCAAAUUUGAGUUCCGACAUAUUCUUUUGGAAUGUAUGCCACUAUAAGUUUUUGUUGAUUAUGAUAUCUGGAAAACUAAGUUGAACUACAUUCAUUCACUUAAACUGAUUAACUUUAGAACAUUUUCUUUAAAAGACACUCUGGUUUUCAACUUGGCAUUCUUACAAUCCUAUGCUGUAACUGAAAUUCAAUGCAUGUGUGGCCUUCCCUUACGUAGUGUUGUUAUAAGUCUUGUUACAUUGAUAUUAGUCAGUGUGGUAAGCUUCCGUCUCCUUGUUUCAUAACAUGGUUCUACUUUGCAAGAGGAACAUUCAACCAUCAUAUGGUCUUUGGUAUGUGUUUUCUUUUAGUGGAAUGAACACCUUUUGCAGGUUUGCUACCACUCUCUUUAUUUUGUAUCUGAUGUGAUCGAUAUCGGGUGGCAUCUGUUGCCAUGUUCCUGUGACUAUUUUUAUUAUAUUCUUAUGUGGAGGGAGGGGAAUACCUUUCCCAAUUAACCUAUGUUCCUGAUCCAUAUUACUGAAAUAAUUCAUUUGAUUGAGAUACAUGCAUUUGUGUCAGUACUUAGUAUAUACUUUUUUUUUAAUAAAGUUCUGCUAUGUUUAUCUGUUAGGGCUCCCAAGGUGGAAGGUGGAGUGGUCUACUGAUUCCAGCAUGGAUGAAUGACUUCAAGUAUGUAGCAUGGUCUUAUUGGUUUACUCAAAUUGCUGAUGGUGAUUAUGCGUGGUUCACUCUCAGCUAGCGUUUCAUAUGAGCAUGAGAGAUGGUUGGAUCAGAUAGUCGUGCUAAUUAUGUUACUAUGAAGUACGAAUACACUGGCAAAAUUCUCUGACUCAUUGGAUGCCAAACUUCAAUGGAAGUAUGAAUUUUCUGAUUUUGAUGAAGCACUCAGGAAGCUAUGGUUUGCAAUAAAGCUUCAAAUUAUAUGGUCUAUUCCAAAAGACGGGUUUCUUAGAGGAAGUUUUGUUAACACUCGUGUUAUUGACAGUUCAUGUGACCAUUCUGUAUGAAAUUCAGGUAUCUAACCUCCAAUUUUGUGAGCUUA